GACGAACGCUGGCGGCGUGCUUAACACAUGCAAGUCGAACGGAAAGGCCCUGCUUUUGUGGGGUGCUCGAGUGGCGAACGGGUGAGUAACACGUGAGUAACCUGCCCCUGACUUUGUGAUAACUUCAGGAAACUGGUGCUAAUACCGGAUAGGAGCUCCUGCUGCAUGUUGUGGGUUGUAUAGUUUCGGCGGUUGGGGAUGGACUCGCGGCUUAUCAGCUUGUUGGUGGGGUAGUGGCUUACCAAGGCUUUGACGGGUAGCCGGCCUGAGAGGGUGACCGGCCACAUUGGGACUGAGAUACGGCCCAGACUGCUACGGGAGGCAGCAGUGGGGAAUAUUGCACAAUGGGCGGAAGCAUGAUGCAGCAAAGCCGCGUGCGGGAUGACGGCCUUCGGGUUGUAAACCGCUUUCGCCUGUGACGAAGAGUGAGUGACGGUAAUGGGUAAAGAAGCACCGGCUAACUACGUG
rnacentral:rRNA from 1 species